GGCACCGGACGGAGCAAUGGUACCGCUGCAAAACAGCCUCGGGAAGGAUCUUAUUUUGGUGGAACAAAAUUUGUGUUAGUCGUGCAACAGUAAACUCCGAUUAGACAGAUAGUCUAGCCAGCUGUCUGGAUUUACCCUGCAGAGAUCUGAGGAGCAGGUACCCAUAGUCCUCAGAAAUCCACCAGAGUUUAAAAUUACAACACAAAGAAAGG